rnacentral:rRNA from 1 species
GAUGAACGCUAGCGGCAGGCUUAAUACAUGCAAGUCGAACGGUAAGGUCUCUUCGGAGAUACACGAGUGGCGCACGGGUGCGUAACGCGUAUGCAACCUACCUUUAACUGGGAAAUAGCCCCGAGAAAUCGGGAUUAAUGUCCCAUAUUAUUUUCUGAAAGCAUUUUCGGAAAAUGAAAGCUCCGGCGGUUAUUGAUGGGCAUGCGUGACAUUAGCUAGUUGGUGAGGUAACGGCUCACCAAGGCAACGAUGUCUAGGGGUCCUGAGAGGGUUAUCCCCCACACUGGUACUGAGACACGGACCAGACUCCUACGGGAGGCAGCAGUAAGGAAUAUUGGGCAAUGGACGCAAGUCUGACCCAGCCAUGCCGCGUGAAGGAUGAAUGUCCUAUGGAUUGUAAACUUCUUUUAUGCAGGAAAAAUAUCCCGGUCGUGAACCGGGACUGAUGGUACUGUAUGAAUAAGCAUCGGCUAACUCCGUGCCAGCCGCCGCAGUAAUAC